rnacentral:rRNA from 1 species
GAACGCUAGCUACAGGCUUAACACAUGCAAGUCGCGGGGUAACAUCUGGUAGAGCUUGCUCUUCCAGGAUGACGACCGGCGCACGGGUGAGUAACGCGUAUCCAACCUGGCCCAUACCACGGGAUAGCCCGUCGAAAGGCGGAUUAAUACCGUAUGCUGUCAUUAAGAUGCAUAUAUUGAUGACGAAAGGACUGGCGGUAUGGGAUGGGGAUGCGUCUGAUUAGCUUGUUGGCGGGGUAACGGCCCACCAAGGCGACGAUCAGUAGGGGUUCUGAGAGGAAGGUCCCCCACAUUGGAACUGAGACACGGUCCAAACUCCUACGGGAGGCAGCAGUGAGGAAUAUUGGUCAAUGGACGGGAGUCUGAACCAGCCAAGUAGCGUGCAGGAUGACGGCCCUAUGGGUUGUAAACUGCUUUUAUAGGGGGAUAAAGUGUGCCACGUGUGGCAUAUUGCAGGUACCCUAUGAAUAAGGACCGGCUAAUUCCGUG